ACUUGGAUCAUCAGCCAGCCUUUUCCUCUGUGCAGAACCACAGGUUGUUGUCAGACGCUGAAUCCACAAUGUCAUCGUUGCCAAACUUUGGGUGGUGGAUUUUCUGCUUUGUUUUCAUCUGGGAAAGACUGAAAGCACAAGGUGCAAAGGUACAAUGUUCUCCAGGUGAUGCAGUGGGAAGGCAGCAUCCUGUUCGAGGUCUGCUGGAGAGGUUUCAGGAAGGCCGUGG